rnacentral:sRNA from 1 species
GUCGUGAGAUGUUGGGUUAAGUCCCGCAACGAGCGCAACCCCUAUCCUCAGUUGCCAUCAUUAAGUUGGGCACUCUGUGGAGACUGCCGGUGUUAAACCGGAGGAAGGUGGGGAUGACGUCAAGUCCUCAUGGCCCUUAUGACCGGGGCUACACACGUGCCACAAUGGCCAGUACAAAGAGUUGCGAUACCGCGAGGUGGAGCCAAUCUCAUAAAGCCGGUCUCAGUUCGGAUUGGAGUCUGCAACUCGACUCCAUGAAGUUGGAAUCGCUAGUAAUCGCGGAUCAGCACGCCGCGGUGAAUACGUUCCCGGGCCUUGUACACACCGCCCGUCACACCACGGGAGUCGAUUGGUCCCGAAGUGCGUGAGCUAACCCCUUGUGGGAGGCAGCGUCCUAAGGAAUGGUCGGUGACUGGGGUGAAGUCGUAACAAGGUAGCCGUAGGGGAACCUGCGGCUGGAUCACCUCCUUUCUAAGGAGCUAGAAGGCUAGACCUUCCAAGCUUACCUAGGUCAAAACACAAAUCACGUAACUUUACUGCUAUUCGGUUUUGAGAGACCAGAGUCUUCUCUGGUUUUUUGCUCUUUAUAACUUUAGUGUGUCGUGAAAGCGAAACACGAUUUGAUGGGCUUGUAGCUCAGUUGGCUAGAGCACACGACUGAUAAUCGUGAGGUCGCUGGUUCGAGUCCAGCCAGGCCCACCAACCUUUAUUGGGGGUGUAGCUCAGCUGGGAGAGCACCUGCCUUGCACGCAGGGGGUCAUCGGUUCGAACCCGUUCACCUCCACCAAUAAUUUAAGCUGAUGAGAGAUGAGAGAUGAGAGAAGAAAUUCUCAUCCUUCAUCCCUCAACCCUCAUCAGUUUUUAACAGUUCUUUGACAAUUGCAUAGUGGAUAGUUUAGGUGGUUAAAGCAUACUCAGUGCGUAUGUUUUAACUUGAAUUGUAUGAAACUUGUAGAUUGAUUUCGAUUUUUUAUGGUCAAGCUACUAAGGGCGUACGGUGGAUGCCUAGGCAGAGAGAGGCGAUGAAGGACGCGGUAAACUGCGAUAAGCUUCGGGGAGUCGUUAAACUAGGCUUUGAUCCGGAGAUUU